CAGCAGGACUAAGACAACGCAACCCGCCCCCCCUUUCCUCCCUCGUCCUUCAGACCCUGUUCCAUCCCCCAAAAAAUGGGGGGCGAGGGGGGAGAGCGAGGGGAGCGGGAUAAGGAGGCGAGCCGGAGGAGGAGAUGGAGGAGCGGGAGUAGGAAGGCAGAGGGAGCGAAGGAGGAGAGAGAGAGAGAGAGCCGGAGAGGGGGAACGCGCCCCACAGAGCUGGUGGUGGACUGGGGAGCAGAAGGAGAUGAGCAGUAGACGGAGACAGGGCUACCCAGGAGGUCACAGAGCCAGAGGGACAUUGGGUUCAAACCAACUCCCCCCUCCCCCGCCAAGCGGCAAUGUGGGGGAGAUGACCGGGCAUGGCACGCCACCCGGAGCGGCAGGGGCUCAGGAUGGGUGAGGACAACAAAGACGCCGCCCCACCUCUCAGCCCAGCCGCCAGGCCCCCUCGGCCCUCACACCAAUCUGCCUCCGGAGGAGGGGAGGCGGGGCCUCGGGACCCACUGACAGCGCUGGGAGCACUCAGAGAUACUCCACGUAGCCCUGGGUAUCUGCACGCAAAGUCGAAUGCCACCUAGGCGUCCUGUAGGCUCGGGGUGCGGUCUCACAAGCGCCAUGGGCAUCGAUGCAAGAUCAAACCCAACGGAGGGGGCACGCAUUUCUCCGGACCCGCCACCACGAGCACGGUGAGGACUCCCCACCCCUCGGCCGGCCAGACCUACGCCAUCCCUCUCUUCCCGCCAGACCUGUGGUGCGAAGCACGUGGCUGAUGUCCUGCAGUCCCUGAAGGAGGUCUCAGGAGACAUCUUUAGCAGGUGGGUGCUGGCCUCCCGGGCGGAGCCGAAUUCUGGCUCUGCUCUCCCAAGAGCUAUUGCUGCAGUUCCGUCUGCAGCCAGCAGAGGGUGACCCGACCCCAGCCACGCAGGGUCCUGAGUCGGCCUGUGUGUGUCUGGUCUGCGGGGACAGCCCGGUCCACUGCUGGAGGGUGGAAGGCGCGAGAAGCAAGGCCCCACCCCAGGCCCGCGCCCCACUCUCGCCAAGUCGGGUCAGGCUCUGACAGUGGUUGCAGCUUGGCUUCCCGCAGUUUCCUCCUCUGACAGAGCCCAGGUUCUCGCAGUGAGAUCCUCUGCUGCACACACAGGUGAUCAUGGUGGGCCCCGAGAAGCUCAGCCCCGUGAAGUGAGGACCCUUCGUGUAGGAUGGUCACAGUGCCUCCCUCCGACAGCCACAGGGAGCCCAGAGGGGAGAAGGGAGCCAGGCCGAGAGCCCGCAGGGGGGUGCCUGCUGCCUCUGCAGGAGGCAGAGUUGGGGUGGCCUGGUGCAAUCUGGCUGUGAUCUUUGCACAACAAAAUCUCCUGGCCUGAGGAGCUGAGCUACAGGACGCUGUGGGUCCUCAGGGAAGGGAUCUCCACGAGCCAGGCCAAGAUCUGAAGCUCAAGGGCAGCCAGAAGGUCAUCAAGUUAGGGAGCCCAUGCCCAUCAUCCCCGCGCCCCCGGCCCGCCGUGUCCCGCAGCUCCCCAGCCCUAGAUCCAUGCCCACAAGUGUUCUCCAGCUCCAAGUUCCUCGCCCCCAAGUCCCCGUAGGACUACAGCUCCUCCGUCUUCUCCAGUGCACAAGAACCAGGCCUCCAGUCACCGCCGCUGCGCUGCUUCAUCCAGAACAAGCACCAGCCGCUGGACGAGCGGGCCCUGCAGGUCUGAGGGCCAGGCCAGGGCGCGGGCAACGGGUCCACACAGGCUGCUGACCCCCCGAGGCUUCCGGCGAGGACUGAGUGGGGUUCACGGAGCCAGGCGCUGAGCCCCCCGAAUCCCUGUCACCUCCAGGAGAAGCUGAAGUUCUUCCCUGUAUGUGAGCACCAAGCAAGAGCCGGAGGAUGAGGCCAAGGAGGGGCUGGGGGACUCCCCAGCAACAUCAGUUCGGCCAGCUCCCUGUUGCUGUUCAGCGCCCCUUUAGGGCCCGGGGGUGCUGAGGGGGUUCGGGGCUGCACGGCACUAUGUCUGGUGCAAAGCAGAUGUGAGAGCUCUUGAGUCCUGGGCAUGCAAGAGCAGGCUGCAACCCAAAGCAAGAGGGAUGGUCAGGGACCUGAGCCUGCCUGAUCCCCAAUUACCCUGCAGAUACAAGAAGUACCUCUUCCUGGACCCAUUGCCAAAGACCCACGUGAUGCUGGAGGAGGAGAAGCUGUUUCAAGCCCCUCUGUCCAAGGGGGCAUUACCAAGAGAAAGCAGCUUGAGCAGCAGGUGGGGAGCACUGGAGGCUGGGGCCCUGGGAAUCUCAGCCAUCCUGAGGUAUGGAGGGCUCUCUGAGCCUCAGAGUGACCCUGAAGACCAUGUCCUUGUGUGGCAGCUGUGGCUCACAUAUUGCCCCGCAGGUCCCCCCUGAGAACUACAUCUAAGUGCCAGACCUGGGGAGGGUACCUGAGACUGAUAUCCUGUUCUACCUGCUUGACCUGCCAGGCAUGGCUGAUGACCUCAUGUACAGUGCCAACCUGGGCCUGGGCAUCACCCUCUCUGCCCCUGGUGCCAUCCUGGAGCUUCCUUCCUUCCAGCAGAGGUGGAUGCACCUUUGAAGGCUGUUGAGUUGGGUACUGGGCAGUGGACUGCACUGGGAGCUCCCUGACUCAGCCUGCUUCCUGCAAACUGAGCCUCGCACCUGUGUUCCAGACCUCGAGGGCAGGGUUCUUGUAGCACUCUCACUGCCUGCUUUGCACCACCAGGGCCUCCCCCAGCUCCUGCAGUGCUAGCCAGUGCAUCUGGUGCUGUGCAGCAUCUAGGAGCACAAGUUGGAGAAGAAGCAGGAGCAGGAACAUGGUGAGACCCCCUCCUGCUGCCAUCAGGACCCCAAGCAGAGGCACAUCAGAGCUCCAGGGCUGUCCCCCUGCAGGUGGGGUGCUAUUGGAGGCCUGGUUGGCUUCCCUGACACCCUAGUUCUGGGCUCCUGCUUGGGACUAUGUGCCCAGCUCAGCCAGCUCAGGAUGCACCACGGCGGGUCCCUGGGGGCUUCCGAGGGGUCUCCAUGCUCUUAGGGAACUCAGGUGAGUGCAGCCCUCAGCCUCUAGGCUUCCUGGGGCCACUGGUGUCUUAAAGGGGUGUUGGGAGCCGCGGCCAACACCGGUCGCCUUACUUGGCGGACGUAGGGCCUGUGGGUGGGAGCGGAGCCUGAGCUAGAUUGCCCCUCCCAUCGAGUGAGUCAAGUUGGCGCCUGCUUCCUGCCCCCUGAUUGCGCUGGCGACUUAAACAACCCGCUCUGUAAGAUAGUCUGCCUAGCAACAACUGAUGUUAGCCAAUCAGCCCGCAUCGCGCGCUUUGAACUGAUUGGCCACUGUUACCCUAUAAAAGUAAAUGCCUCUCCCGCCACAAGAGGGAAGCACAGAAAAAGCACAGAGAGAGAUAGAAAAAGUCCACUGGCGAGAAAGGGCUGGUGGCAGAGAGGAGGCCUCGCGGGGCCCACGCGGAGACAAAUAAAGGCAAGGUUGCACACCGCCAGACUUUGUCGUGUGUCUUUCCUGCCGGCCGGGAGCGACAUCAACAUUUGGUGACCCGCACGGGGACUGAUCAACCCCGAGACACGGCGGUGGUGUGCAACGCUCCAGCGUGGUGCUGCCGGACAGGUGAGUUGGGGAUAAGCCUGGGCUCUGGGUGGCGCGCACCUACAGGGCUUUUAGACUCCCCUCAGGCUCACGCGUAGGUGACGGGUUCUUUAAGUCACACGCGGUGAGUUACAGCCAUUAGAGGUUAGAGAUGGGUAAUUUACCGAGCGCGGAGGCGCGGCCCUUGGUAAAGGCCCUUAGGAAGCUUUUAAAAGCUAGAGACCUCAGGGUAGGUCAAAAAACACUAGAACUAUUCAUAGCAGAGAUAGAUAGGGUGGCUCCCUGGUUUUUACCCACGGGGCAUUUAAACCUGCCGUCAUGGGAGAAGUUAGGCGGGGACCUCGCUUCGGCGGAAUUGGAAGGGGAUAUUUCGCUGGCUAUUCGCCCCCUGUGGGAAAUGAUACAUGCGUGCCUUGACUCCUAUGCCGAGUUGCGCCGCGAAUUGUGUGCGUGCGCCGCUCGAAAAAAGCAGAGAGAGGAAAAAGGGCCCCCAAGAGCCCUCUGGCGGGGAGGAGAUAGAGAGCCAUCCGCUCCGCCCUGGAGCUCUUCUCCAGAAGCGGCUCCCCGUCGAGAGGCCGCUACAGGGAACCCUCCCUUCUCUCAGCCGGCACAGGAAGUGAUGCCCCGUUCCACUCUGUUGCGACCGCUGUCCUAUGACGUUGCGCCGCGGGGCGGACGGUAUUUUCAUGGGCGGCUACUCUGCCGAGCAGGCUGAGAAAAACGCCGGUCGAGAAAACGGGGGCUGGGGAUUUAGCUCAGCGGCAUAAGCGCCUGCCUUGUAAGCAGGAUAUCGCGAGUUCGAUCCCUGGUACCGAUAAAAAAAAAAAAAAAAAAAAACGAAAAAGACCAAAAAUAAAAAAAUAAAAUAAAAAAUAAAAAAUAAAAAGGGGGAGUAAGCCAAGGCCUGCCUCCAAAGGCGCGGUUAUCUAUGGCAUGACAAUGGAUGGGCCCGGAUCCGGUGGUUAGCUGGAACCGAGGCGCGGUUUGUGUUUUUCCGCAGGAACCGGGACGAGAACCACUGUGGGUCCCAGAGAGGUUGCAACAAGUCCCUCGACUGAAGAUCAGGCCUGUUCCACCAGAGGCCAACCGCAGACCCAACAACAAGAUGAGCCCUAAAAGAACUGCAGGACAAUCCCUUUUUGGGGAGCCUGGAAUGGCUUGCUCCCCUAUGUUUUACCAUUGUUAGGUCCCCUGUGCUCCUUGCUUCUGCUCUUACUUGUAGGACCAUUCUUGCUCCGAUGGGUUACAUCAUUUAUUAAUGGGCGCCUUGCGGCGGCCUGGCGUCAAGUACGCCUGGUUGCCCAUGCGGCCCUGGCAGCAGCCCGUGAUGGGCACAAUGACCCCCAGGCUUACGCAUGGCUCGCUCGACUGGCCUACGACUGGGUCUAGGUGUGGCGGGUCUUCCGCAUUCCUUCCCUAAUGACACCACACAGCAGGGUAGGUGAGUCAAUGACGGGUAAGAGCGUGCCUCCCCAGCACGACUCGACCUAAGCCAGGCCCUACCCCAUACUGCACGAAAGCCGCUGGAUUACUAGAAUCUGCCCAGAUCUAGAUGCCUCUCCGAGGGGAUCACACGGAGGGGCAUGAGUGCAUGCCUAUGUGCAUCCAGGUUCCGUCCAGUUCACUCCUGGCCCUGGAAAAAGGACGAGGGUCUCAAGGCCUUGGCGGACCCGGGGCGGCCGACCAGGGUCCAAGCCAAGGGCCUACGGUGGGCCUCAACACAGGGCAUAAGCCUCUGCACUCAAUCCAGGGCGGGCUGCGAUGCAUACAUUCAUUCAAAGUAAAUAAAUUAGGGGGAGAUGUUGGGAGCCGCGGCCAACACCGGUCGCCUUACUUGGCGGACGUAGGGCCUGUGGGUGGGAGCGGAGCCUGAGCUAGAUUGCCCCUCCCAUCGAGUGAGUCAAGUUGGCGCCUGCUUCCUGCCCCCUGAUUGCGCUGGCGACUUAAACAACCCGCUCUGUAAGAUAGUCUGCCUAGCAACAACUGAUGUUAGCCAAUCAGCCCGCAUCGCGCGCUUUGAACUGAUUGGCCACUGUUACCCUAUAAAAGUAAAUGCCUCUCCCGCCACAAGAGAGAAGCACAGAGAGAAAGCACAGAGAGAGAUAGAGAAAGUCCACCGGCGAGAAAGGGCUGGUGGCAGAGAGGAGGCCUCGCGGGGCCCACGCGGAGACAAAUAAAGGCAAGGUUGCACACCGCCA